UUUUAUUUAUUGUUCUUUUAUAUUUCAUAUAAUUUAUUUAUUAUGUGUAAUUCGGAAGUUUGCUUAAAACAUUGUAAACUGAUUUUAAUGUUUACAAAACUUAAUAAUAAACCAGCAGGAAUUUAAUGUUUGAAUUUUCCCCCCUUACUGUACUGAAAAUAAACCAAACCAUGACUUAAAAGCUGAGGUACGUACCGAACCGUGAUUUUUGUGUACCAUUUUUAGAUAGAUAUAUAGAUGUGUAUGCAAGAGACGUCCUCUAUCCCAGAAGAAACCUAAAUUACGAUGUAGCCUAGAGGACGCAAGUUAUUUAGGAUAAUAUGACCGCGUUGUGAACCUCAAUACAACUCUAUGAGGAAAGCUCGUAACGGCAAAGAUGGCGGUUAUCCCGCCCCUCCUGCUAGACUUUAAUCAUAUUUAAACAACUACAGCUUUGUGUUGUUGGUCAGAAAAUAAGAUUAUGCUCCCAGACACCCAGAGAGGGACCGAGGCCCACCCACCACAGUCUCUUGAAAUCUUGGGGGAAACACUGGGAUCUGGUCUAACGUUACACACGUGGAACAGUGUAAAGCAGUGAAAUCUCAUAAAGGUUUAACAUGAUAUGAAAGUGAGUUUCAGACAGAGUUAAAGCUUUACAUAAAACAGCUUUGGCAACAAUGUAAUUUAACUUUCCCUUAACUGCGGAACCGGAAGUUAACAUUAGCUUUGUCCCGCUAGCUAGCAUGCUAACACACAGGCAGCAGGCUACAUGCUACAAGAGACCUCCUGCUCCUCCUCCUCCUCCUGCUCCUCCUCCUCCUCUCCGGUUCCGACCGUCACAUUAAGUGUGGGUUCUGUAGAGAUACGGGGUUCUGAUGGCUCCACUGUUGAAUCCUGCUACAUUACAUCUUGUUUACAGUCAAUAUGAAGCUACGUGUCGGAACCAGGCCGAGCUAACGCCACGUUAGCUUCUUGUUAGCUGCUAGCUGUGUUCAUGAACACUGACCUGAACAUCGGUGCUAUCAGAGCUCGAGCCUGCUGUUUGUCCUCCGGGGACGUUGUUGCUCCGGGGCUCCGGGUCCUGGUUGUCCUCCUCCAUCCCGCUCUCGGUCCUGGUCUCUGAGAUCCAGCAGGUCUCCUGUGGGACUGACGGAGCUCUUCAGGCGCCUCCUUGAAGUGAACAAUGGGAGCUCCCCUCUGAGAGGCGACCCUCUGUGUAUUUCAAGUCUGGCUGAUGAGGGGAGAAACCAAGAGGGUGCUGGGUGCUUGGCUCUCUCUCUUAUCCACCUUCCAGUCAUAGCAACAACAGCAGACUGACGGGAACUGCUGCAGAUUUGUAUUCUUUUGACUGUUGUUUUUAUUCUAUUCUGAUGGGACUGGUAGUUUAGUUUCACAGCUUUAUUUAUGUUUUUUUAGUUAUUGGUUUAUGGUAGCGGGAAAGCCUCCAGAUCCUACGGCCCUUUGUGGACUGGUCUGCAGGGCUUCUCUUUCUUUUGUUUGUUUUGCCCAUCAAACUUAUUAUUAUGUUUGAGUUAUUUUGGACUUUUUUCAUGUUUAUUAAAUAAACUUAUGUUUCUUUGCACAA